ensembl:miRNA oni-mir-106 oni-mir-106
UAAAGUGCUUACAGUGCAGGUAGUGAUGAUAAUCUGGCCUACUGCAGUGUGAGCACUUCUUUC